UUUUUUUUUUUUUUGUUAUUUCUCUCUCAGAUUAACGCUGCGGCAGGCCUAACACAUGCAAGUCGAACGGUAACAGGAAGCAGCUUGCUGCUUUGCUGACGAGUGGCGGACGGGUGAGUAAUGUCUGGGAAACUGCCUGAUGGAGGGGGAUAACUACUGGAAACGGUGGCUAAUACCGCAUAACGUCGCAAGACCAAAGAGGGGGACCUUCGGGCCUCUUGCCAUCAGAUGUGCCCAGAUGGGAUUAGCUUGUUGGUGAGGUAACGGCUCACCAAGGCGACGAUCCCUAGCUGGUCUGAGAGGAUGACCAGCCACACUGGAACUGAGACACGGUCCAGACUCCUACGGGAGGCAGCAGUGGGGAAUAUUGCACAAUGGGCGCAAGCCUGAUGCAGCCAUGCCGCGUGUAUGAAGAAGGCCUUCGGGUUGUAAAGUACUUUCAGCGGGGAGGAAGGUGUUGUGGUUAAUAACCGCAGCAAUUGACGUUACCCGCAGAAGAAGCACCGGCUAACUCCGUGCCAGCAGCCGCGGUAAUACGGAGGGUGCAAGCGUUAAUCGGAAUUACUGGGCGUAAAGCGCACGCAGGCGGUCUGUCAAGUCGGAUGUGAAAUCCCCGGGCUCAACCUGGGAACUGCAUUCGAAACUGGCAGGCUUGAGUCUUGUAGAGGGGGGUAGAAUUCCAGGUGUAGCGGUGAAAUGCGUAGAGAUCUGGAGGAAUACCGGUGGCGAAGGCGGCCCCCUGGACAAAGACUGACGCUCAGGUGCGAAAGCGUGGGGAGCAAACAGGAUUAGAUACCCUGGUAGUCCACGCCGUAAACGAUGUCUACUUGGAGGUUGUGCCCUUGAGGCGUGGCUUCCGGAGCUAACGCGUUAAGUAGACCGCCUGGGGAGUACGGCCGCAAGGUUAAAACUCAAAUGAAUUGACGGGGGCCCGCACAAGCGGUGGAGCAUGUGGUUUAAUUCGAUGCAACGCGAAGAACCUUACCUGGUCUUGACAUCCACAGAACUUUCCAGAGAUGGAUUGGUGCCUUCGGGAACUGUGAGACAGGUGCUGCAUGGCUGUCGUCAGCUCGUGUUGUGAAAUGUUGGGUUAAGUCCCGCAACGAGCGCAACCCUUAUCCUUUGUUGCCAGCGGUCCGGCCGGGAACUCAAAGGAGACUGCCAGUGAUAAACUGGAGGAAGGUGGGGAUGACGUCAAGUCAUCAUGGCCCUUACGACCAGGGCUACACACGUGCUACAAUGGCGCAUACAAAGAGAAGCGACCUCGCGAGAGCAAGCGGACCUCAUAAAGUGCGUCGUAGUCCGGAUUGGAGUCUGCAACUCGACUCCAUGAAGUCGGAAUCGCUAGUAAUCGUGGAUCAGAAUGCCACGGUGAAUACGUUCCCGGGCCUUGUACACACCGCCCGUCACACCAUGGGAGUGGGUUGCAAAAGAAGUAGGUAGCUUAACCUUCGGGAGGGCGCUUACCACUUUGUGAUUCAUGACUGGGGUGAGUC
rnacentral:rRNA from 1 species